GACGAACGCUGGCGGCGUGCUUAACACAUGCAAGUCGAACGGAAAGGCCUGCUUUCCCUUGUGGAUUGCGGGUACUCGAGUGGCGAACGGGUGAGUAACACGUUAGUGAUCUGCCCCCAACUUGGGUAUAAGCCUGGGAAACUGGGUCUAAUUCCCGAUAGGACUGCAGGGUGGUUCCUGUGGUGGAAAACGAUUUUCUAGUGGUUGGGGAUGAGCUCGCGGCCUAUCAGCUUGUUGGUGGGGUAAUGGCCUACCAAGGCGGCGACGGGUAGCCGGCCUGAGAGGGUGGACGGCGACAUUGGGACUGAGAUACGGCCCAGACUCCUACGGGAGGCAGCAGUGGGGAAUAUUGGACAAGGGGCGGAAGCAUGAUGCAGCGACGCCGCGUGGGGGAUGACGGCCUUCGGGUUGUAAACUCCUUUCGACCGCGAGGAAGCCACCUGGUUGGAAGGGUGGUGACGGUAGUGGUAGAAGAAGCACCGGCUAACUACGUG
rnacentral:rRNA from 1 species